UUCCAUCACUUCCUUCUUCCUUUAGCCAGUCAUCGACUUAGUGAAAAACUAAAGCCAAGGUUGGCAAGGUCCCUCACUAACCUCAAGCAUGGAUGGAUGAGGCUCCACCUUGCCAUAAUCGACAAGGCCACCCUCAUGGCCUCAAGCAAGGGCUUGAGCCUUGCUAGGGCUUGGGCGAGGCACAACCUCACCAGACCUAGCAAAGUCAAGCCUUGCCCAGUCGAGUCUUGUCUAAGUCCACCAAGGUUGGCCCUGCCUUUGGUCGGUCAUCGAUCGUUUAGAGAAAGAAGGAAGUGAAGAAAAAAAAAGAAUUUUUUUUUAAAAAGAUAUUACAAUAUUAAAUUUUGUUCAUGUCAAUGUCGAUAGGAUUAUGUAGGAUCAUCGGUGCUCAUGUCAACUUUAGUAAGCCAAAAUUGAACUGAUAGAUUGAAUUGAUACAAAUGCAAGAGGUUGAAUUUUCAGUUGACAAAGAAAAUGUUAAUAAUUAAAUAAGCAUAAUUAUGAUAAAUUUAGGACUUUUUUAUUAUUAUAUAAUUUCUCAUUAAAUUCUCUAUACGGGCUUUUUUUUUUAAUGUAAAAGAGAAGUAGUUGGUAAAGAAAUAAAAAUUGUAUACUCGUCAUCAACUCUAUCCUAUUUAUGUAAUGAUUUUUUGUGCCGUCAAUGUACUAAAUAAGUCAUUUUAAGACUGUGUACACACACACAUAUGUGUGUGUGAAGUAGUUGGUAAAGAAAUAAAAUUUGUAUACUCGUCAUCAACUCUACCCUAUUUAUGUAAUGAUUUUUUGUGCCGUCAAUCUACUAAAUGAGUCAUUUUAAGACUCUGUAUACAUACACAGAGACAUAUACAUAUAUGUGUGUGUGUGUGUGUAUAGUGAUGUGACAGGGCAUGAGCGGACAUAUAAUAAUCUGGGAUAAUUUAAAUGCCACACUUUGUAGUAUAUAAAUUUUGUACAUAAAUGUUAGUAUACAAUGCUUUGUUAGCUUUGUUAAGAACAAGCGAUUGCCAAUAUCACGCGCAGUGGUUCCCGUCCAUGAGCGGCAUCGCCAGAGCGCAAGGGGAGGAGGCGAAGAAGGCGGCGAUCGACCAAGUCGUCGAAGGCCUGUCGCUGCUGGAGGACGCGUUCGGCAAGAUCAGCAAGGGCAAGCCCUUCUUCGGUGGGGACACCAUCGGCUUCCUCGACAUCGCGCUCGGGUGCUUCCUCGGGUGGGUGAGGGUGACGGAGAGGACGCAAGGUCUGAAGCUGCUCGACCAGGCCAAGGUCCCGGGGCUGGCCAAGUGGGCCGAGAGGUUCUGCGCCGACAGCGCGGUAAAGGGGGUGAUGCCGGAGACGGAGAAGCUCGCCGAGUUCGCCAAGUUGAUAAUGGCCAAGUUCAGAGCUCCUCCUCCCCAGUGAAUCAGGGAGAAGCAGUUUCUUGUUCGCUCGUUUUAGACGCGCAAUCGUGCGGUGAUGACUGAGUAGGGGAAUAAAUGUUGUGGACCUUCUUGGGUUGCUUACAGCUCCGACAUGUCACUCUUUUGAGGUGGCCGGGGUACGCUCAUUUAGAGCAGGGUGGCAGAAGAAUGUACUGUCGAGGUCUCGGUUGAACUUUGUAUUUAACAAAGAUCAAUCUGGCCUUUCUGAAUUAAUUUCUUGUCCAGAGUACGCGCCGUUGAUCGGUUCUCCCAUCUUUUCCGGUUGAAAUUGACGCAGAUAAUAACCUUCGUGUUUUAAAAAUCAACUUACAUUCCAAAAAUAGAUUUUUCUAUUUUUAUUUCAUGGAUAGAUUUCGCAGUAAAAAUAAGUGUUUAAUAACGAUAUAGCAUUUUUAUUCCUAAAAUAGAAAUUCAAUAGAUAACAAUACAAAAUUUUUUAACUCUUAGACAACGGCAACAAUAUAUGGCUAACGGUAAUUGAUGAUCGGCGGAUGGCAAUUGGUGACUAGUGGGCGGUGGUCGGCAAACAACAACCUUCAGUGGGUGGCUGGCGGACAACGGUGGAUGGUGAUCGGUUGUGGCGGACGGCAACUUGCGACCAAUGGCGAUAGCGGCAGACGAUAGCUAAAGAUCACAUCGGUGGCGGCGGAUAGCAAACAGUGACCGGCGGCAGCAAACGAUGAGCAAUGGUAAGUGAUUGACCGAUUAGUAGAAAGGACAAAUGAAUGAGAAUAAUUUCUAUUUCUCAUUUCUAAUAGAAAUAAAGAAAGUAGAAAAUUUUUCCUUCUCAUUUAUGUUUCAAACUUAUUUCUAAAUUAAAAAUUUAUUCUAGAAUAAAAAAAAUGAAAUUACAUUAUUAAAUAGAUUUACAAUCCAAACUUAUUGCUAGAAACAAAAAAAAUAAUUUUGGCUAGAAAAAGAAUGGUUAUCAUACGCGACGUCUAUACUUUCCCUUUGAAUUAAAUGCUCCCGUCUCUGAGUCUAGAACAACAUGAGAUUGGAAGAUAAAUCAAGCUUGUGUGGAGUUGAAGUCGCAAAUAAUAACGAGGGUGAUUCGAUUGAGCUAAGGCAAUAUUAUCGCACCCCAAAAUCUAUAAGGAUAGGGUAAUGACAUAAUCGUCAUUUCACUUGAAUGAUAUAACCUCAAAUUAUAAGUCCAACUCCCAAAAAGUCUCCAUCGAGAGCGCCAUUGUAUUAUCGGCCGCUAAUUGAGAAAACUAGAAAGAUUGGGAAAUGAGGGAGUGAACAACCACAGUUCAGUUAUUAGUACAUCUAUUCAAAGCAAAUUGAGUAUUCGCUAUACACAUUCAACAAAACAACAUCAAAACUAUUUAUCUCAAUACAUGUGUAUAAAAUGAGUUAUAUUGCUUUAACAUAACUAUAAACAUAUCUGAAAACAUUCGUUAAAUCAAUAUCAUAAUGAACAUCAACGGUCCAAUCCAUUGAUCAAUCUCAACAACUCGUGUAUUAAUGAUUUAUUCCAUUGAUAAAUCUCAUCAAACUACACAUCAAUGAUUCAUUCUAUCAACUAAUCUCAAAUUACAUGUCAAUGAUCCAUUCCAUUGACUAAAUUCAUAUUAUCAAUGGUCCAAUAAAUACCAUGAUCAUUUAUAACGUUUGCUUACUAGGCGACUAAGCUCCUCCCUUAGUAAAAUUUUCACCUAUAUUGCUAAUGGCUAGCAAAUAUAAUAAAAUAGUAUUUGCAUACCUGCUUGGGUUAAUAGUGAUAUUAAGCAUCAAACUCACAUUCUCUAAUAUCCACAUAGUCAAUCCAAAAUAUAAAUUACAAUUCGAUUUCAUAAACCAAAACAUAUAAUCUUUCGCAAAUCAACUCAUCUCUUGGAAUACUUUUCGUAAAAUAUUUCUCACACUAUUUCGGAAUUCAUUUCACAAACUGAAUUUAUAAACAUUAUUCUUCACAACGCAUUUCCUAAAACAUUUUCCAAACCAUUCUCAAAUACCAAAAAAUAAUAAAUGUCCAAUCCAGAUUUUUACACAAGGUACAUGUUCUUUCAUAACUCAUAAUACAUCAAAUCUUUAUAAUCUUCAAGACAUGAGUUUACAAGUUUAUAGAAUAGAUAGCAUUACUUAUUUGGGAGUUCCCACACCAAACAACAUGGCUGAUUUGAAUCGACGAUCUCAUAAUCUUAACAAUUAAACAAGACUACCCCAAAAUCAAGGAAAAUACUACCUCAACAAGCUUAAAUGCUAACAAAAUAACUUCUAUGCGAAAACAAAUCACUUACUCACAGCAAUUACUCAAACCUAAAUACAACACGGAACUCACAUAUCAAACUCUAAAAUUUCCCUCUAACUAAACCAUUGUUUUGAAAUGACUCCCGUCAAAUCUUAUGGCUCUAUAACGACAUAAACCAACAUUUUCAUGAAAUUCCAAAACUCAAUAACUCAAGAAUCGGACUUUGCUAGUUCGAAUUUUACAAAACUUCAAAGUUAAAUCGUAAUUUAAAAAGCUGCUUCAAUUGAACGAACGAAAGGUGCAGAAGAGAUUGCAAUACGGAGUUAAGUCGGUUUGACAAGGCAUCCGUGGCGAUUACCCCUCUCCUCCCUUUCCUUCCCUGUCUCGUGUUCUUUUCCUUCCCGUGUUUUCUCGGCGCGUCUCAGCUCUUAUAUAUUGAGCGCUAAAGUGUUCACUUUCUUUCAUUUGUUGACCAGUCUUUCUUUUUCUUCCUUCUUCUUUUUUUCCGGGUCCCACAACCUUUAGACCUGGUCAACCCACGUACUACAAAUAAGAUUGCAGACCUAACAUGGCAUCGAUCGAGGUAUACUCUUGAUCGCCACGGACGUCUUGAACACGCUCAAAUGGAAAUACCGUGUUAAAUCUUGAUCAGGAGAGAGAGAGAGAGAUGACGAGGCUACGGCGACGACGACACAUAAUCGAUGGACUUGACAAGGUGGGAGGCGACGGUGGCGAUCGGAGCAGCAGUAACUGGAGCGGGCUCGCGUGGAGCAAGAACCCCUUUCGAUUGACCUCGCCCUCCUCCUCGAUAGCAACGCAUCCUUUCGCUGAGCUGGCGAGUCACAAACAAGCAAAGAAAGAGAAGCAUAACAUGGCAAUCCGCGCAACAUAAGGUACAAAAUCGAGCGGAUUCUAAAAAAUCCAAAUAAUCUAAUCGAAUAAAAAAAUCCAAGCACCAUAUCUCACUAAAAUUCAAAUACUUUAUAUAGUAUGGUCUCUCCGCCUCAUGUUUAUCUAGAAGCGUAAACUGGCGUCUUCAAUUUUGAUCCUUCUAAAUGGUCGACACGUAAGCAAAUGGAGUGUCAAGUUUUUAGUCCCGCCGACGCCCCCUUUCUUUGAACCCUCCGACAUCGCUCUCAGCCCGAGAAUAAGUCACGCGGCCAAGACGCCACCUUGAAUCAGCCGUGGGAAAAUCCGCGUCCUCGUUCCCACUCACCAAUCCAAUCACCUUCUUCUCGAGCCUUGCCCAUUAAGAAAAGCCAAAAGACUCGACGUAACAAAGUCAAAAAACCCCGAUUAUCAAUCCCAACAAGAAACAUCCGAACGCCAUCCGCCUUUUCUCUUCAACAUCACCCUCCCAAAUAUUAAAUUAUACUCCCGUCCAGAACUCCACCGCAUAAUCCACUCCCACCGCCCUCUCGUGAUCGUUGAAGAGGGAAACCCAAGAAAGCAAAGAAAGAAGAGCAGGAAAGAGCAGGGAAGUUCAAAAGCUCGUGAGCUCCGAUGGAUCUCUUCACGAAGACCGGGGCCGUCAAGCUCCGGAGCCACCUCGACAAGUACCUCGUCGCCGACGACGACCGCAAGACCGCCCGCCAGAGCCGCAACGGCGCCGCCGCCCGCGCCCGCUGGUCCGUCGAGCCCGUCGAGGGCCGGGCCGACCUCGUCCGCCUCCGGAGCUGCCACGGGCGCUACCUCGCCGCCUCCGACGAGCCCUUCCUCCUCGGCAUGACCGGGAAGAAGGUCCUCCAGGCCUUGCCCGGGGAGGGCCCGUCCUCCAGCUGGACCUUGGAGUGGGAGCCCAUCAGGGACGGGUUCCAGGUGAAGCUGAGGAGCUGGUGCGGCAAGUACCUGCGCGCCAAUGGGGGCCCGCCGCCGUGGAGGAACUCCGUCACGCACGACGACCCCCUCGCCGGGGGGACGCAGAACUGGGUGCUGUGGGACGUGGAGGCCGUCGCGGGGAGCGCGGAUUGGGAGGCGCCCGAUGAAUACUCGUCGGCGUAUUCGAGCUUCUCGUCGUCCGUCGGCGGCAGGGAUGAUGAUGUAGCGGCGCGUUCGGAGGUUGUGUCGCCGACGGCAGUAGCGGUUGCCCCAAGCAAGAUGGAGAUAAAGCAGGUAUGCAUCUUCUUCUUCUUCUUCUUCGUCUUCUUCAUGUGCCAGUUGCUUGUUCUUGAAGUUCUCAUUCUACUAGUACCGAUCUUGCGCAGUGAUUUUUUUUUUUUUUCUUUGGAAAAUUAUUGAUCAAAUAACGCGUAUAUAUCACGCAUACAUUAAUCGGGUUUAUUUCUCCGCAUCAUUUGUCAAAAAAGCUUCCGGAAAAUUUUAAAUAUUGUCACUAAUCUCAAAAAAGAAAAGAAAUAAAUAAAGUAGACGUGGGAUAGGUGAAUUUUAAAGAUUAAAUUAAACUCACAUGUAGAGGAUAGAAGAAUAUACAAAAAGAAAAUGUCAAGAAAUUCUAGAAUGAACGUCGACAUAAAGGACAAAUGUUAGGUAGACAAUGAGUUGAAUCACUCCCAUCACUCGAGCUUGAUUAUAUGGCGAGUUCGAGUCUACUUGGACUAGAGAACAUUUCUACGGGUCGUGGUCCCGCCAACUUAACUUUAGUAACUAUCAUGUUAUAGCUACAUGACCAUACUAAUGCUUAUAAUGAAUUGCUGAUGCAACCACUUGGGGGUUGCCCCAAUGACUACCUAAGGAGGGAGAGGCGAGGAGUCUGAUUCUCCACCUUCUCGAGGGUUGGGGUGAGGGUGUGUAAGUGAGGAAGUAAAAUUUUACAAAAGUUAAAAAAAGAAUUAGUAGUGUGUAAGUUCCCAUGUUAGUGCGGUAAUUUCACAUAUAAUGGUUAACAUUUACGUUAACGAUUUUUAAUUAAAAUUAGCUAGAUGAUGACAAAAUUGAAAAGUUCAACAGAAUUGAUGAAACUGUAAUAAAUUUAAGGUUUUUUAGAUAAUUUUCCUAAGAUUCUUAUUUAGAUUAUCUAGUCGGAGAUUUAAUCGAAACGAAACCCGUCAUAUCAUAAAGUGAAAAGGCGGAUCAAUUUCUUGAAUGAGUUGAGAAGACAUUGGAAACCCAAGGAAAUGAAAAACGGUGUGAACGUAAGUCGGCCUUAAGUGUUCAGCGAAAGCAACCUUACAAUAGUCUCACGCGGUGGACAGCUUAAUCAUAUGAGGCCCAUGUCAAUUCAUUUGUGUAGCUGCUGGAAAUUAACCAAAUAGAGACAUGAAAUGUCACGACAGAAGAUAGUGUAUUGAUUAGCAAAUGGGCACAAAGAAGCUUCCGCUCAUCUUUCCUAUUAAAUAGGAUAAUUAACUACGGAAAGAUUUAAAAGUUUGUACUAACUUUAUACUCUAAAUAAUAUAAUUCAUGAAGCCAAUACAGUAUAACUUACGUACCGUACCAUAUAAGUUUUAGGUGAAUCUGACGAGAACCCUAUUGAAUUAAAUAGACGAGUUGAUUUGCCACUAGGUGAUAUUUAGCCUAGCGACUGAGUCAUCUAGAUGUCGAUCUUUUUCCCCUUUAAACAAGCACUCCACCAACCCACUAAGAGAAGUUCCUCUUUGUCUCUCCUCUUUGCGCCCACCUAGCAUUUCUUUUUUAAUCAAUGAAGGGGCAAGGAGAGCCGAUCACCAUAGUAAUGUUACACCGUAAGAUUACUAUGGUGAUCGGCUAGAAUUAUAGUUCCUCAAUCCACCCGUAUGUACGCUAGCUCCAUCGACAUAUUAGAAGUCAAAAAAUAUCUCCCUAUAAAGUAACAAAUAUCGAUGGCACUAGCCUGCAGGAAGUUCACUUAUAAUAUGACUUAUAAUAUGUGACAUCAUGCUCACAAGAGGAAAUUGUCAAAACAUUUUAAAUCUAUUGCACUUAUAUCAAUUCAAUCAUAAACAUUGCUAAUUGAAUUUUAAAUCUUUUUGCAUUUUGUUAAUUGAGUUUAUCCAGUUAAUUUUGAUCGAAAAUCACUAUGUAUAUACUAGCUAUCCUUCAUGACUUGACAGGAGCUGACGUAGACACUUAAUAAUAAUUUUUUUAUUUUCUUUUACUAAGAGGCGACAACAAGGGUUGUUGACUAACCCUCAUUGGCUAGAAGCAAGGGCUGCAAUGCCCUCGCCCGAGGCUAGUAAGGGUUGCAACGCCCACACCUUGCUCUAAUUUGGCGAGGGUGUCAUGGCUCUUGUGUCCUUGCCCAAUGCCGGCUAAGGUUGCCCAGUGGUCCUUACUAGUCCUCAAUCCAAACAAAACGUGAAGAAAAAAACCAAAAAACUCAAAAAAAAAAAUUAAAUGUUAUUUAAAAGUGCCAAUGUUAAUGUUGAUUGUACCACAUAGGACAGCCAGCUCCACAUUAGUGAUUUCUAACUUAAAUUAACCAAAUAUUCUCAACUAAUAAAAUGUGAAAAAGUCUAGUAUUUAAUAGGUUUAGGAUUUUUUUUUAUAAUUGCCCCCCCCUCGCGCACGCACCUAGUAACCCGUGAUUGGACAAGAAAUUGAACGACGCGCAAAGGGUAGAAAGGAAAUCCUCCGUGUGUAAAGAGGCUCUUUAAAAGAGCAAAGAGGAAUACGAUGACACGCCACUCCAUAUUUAAACGGUUAAGGAGCCUCUCUCCACGUGCUUCCCUGAUACAACCUCCAACCACCUCUCCCCACUAUAUUUCAGCACCAAUUGGCCGCACUGAUUAAGGAGGAGGGUCUCUCUGCUGAGUGGUUUCGUGAGAUUUGUCAAUCAUGCAAUGUCCAGUGAGAAAACAAUUUCUUUUGUCUAUAUGAUAAUCAAACCCAACAUAAGAAGGAUGGCCUUGUUGUGCUUUGGAAAAUAACCAAUUUAUUUUAUUUCUGUACACUUAAUAAGUGCCCUAGAACAGAAUCUUCAUGAAGAGAAAAGCGAAGGACGGCUGUAUCCAUCCAUUCUUUCGCACCCACUCCUUUAGGCCAUGAUGGAUUCUAGGUGGAGCGCGUUUGUUAUCCGUCAAUUCAAAAGCAUCACGGACCUGACGACGAUUCUGUGAACUAGCUGGGGGGACGCUUUUUGCUAAGAAAUUGUGGUUUCCAGGCAGCAUGUUUGCAUGCGCACCGUGUGGGAAAUUGGAAAGGAUCUUCUCUUUUUUCUUUUUUUCUUUUUGUCGACCAAAGGAUCUUCUCUGUUGAUGAGUAUAGUACAGAUGGGUAAUUGGGUAUGCCUUAAGCAGUUUUAGGUUCUUCUAGUCUAUAUUUCUGCUGCAUAGUUUUGAGUAGAAGAGUUGCGUGCGGGUCUUAAGCAGAGGCUGUCGUAUAAAUCACUUCACUUGAUCAAAGCUAGAGGCUACAUGGACUUCACUGUUGCCUCGUAGCUUAGACACCUAAGUCUGCAAUUAUUUGACUAUGCUACAUACUUGCUGUGUCGCAACUACUGAGGUUCCAAUUUCUGAUCUAAUUAAAGCCAAAAAGAAGUAGGGUGAUCCUGUGUACAUAAGUCAAUCGCAUCGAAAUGCUAAAUGACCAAGACCUCGCAACAAUUAAUUUAUAUAGGCAUUUAAGUAUUGAGGAUUGACCUAGGCGACACAUGGUAGAUUAGAAUCGUCUAUUCAUGAUGUUUGAUCGAUUAAUCUUCACGGAUACAUGCAAAUUGUUUUGUUCACGUGCAUCGGAUAAGGCUCCACUCAUAAGGUGAUGGGUGUGGCCCUCAAAAGUUAAGAUUUAUACGAGCAAAUAAGGCCGGUCAUUUAGACCCCGGAAUCCAUUGAAUCCAACCCGAAACACCCGUCCCCGUCAAGCAAGCUUAACUUUUGAGGUUCAGGAUAUUAUUCUUUUUUUUUUAAAGAUUCGUAGGAACGCCGUGAAUCCUGGAUACACGCCACCCUUCCCCCAAAAGCCAGCCCCGCCGGCCGAUUCUCACUUCUAAAAAGUUAAAAGGGAUAAAAGGGAGGGGAGAUGAACCUUCCCCGGGUAGGCCCCGAAUAUACGCCGCUCUCUCCCGGUGGGCCCCCGGCCCCUCGCGAUCACCGGCCGCGUCCAACAUCUGUCUUUGACUUUUUCGGCGUGUUCGCUGACCGGCACCUUCCCCGCCCGCCCCCGCCCGCCCCCCUGCUCCUUAAAUAUCUACUUUAUUCCUUAACUCUCGCCGGCGCAGCGUCCUGUCGCGUCACGACACAUCUAACUGCUUCCCUGUCUUAACUUCUCACCACGUGAGCUCAUUCAAUCGCCUCUCUUUCUGUCUCUCCUCUUCCGUUUUCCGGCAGAUCUCCAGCGCCGGCUUCUGCAUCCUGACGGGGAUGGAGUUCUUCCGCAACGCCAAGGCGGUGCGCCUCCGGAGCCGCCACGACAAGUACCUGGUGGCGGAGGAGGACGAGGAGGGCGUCACCCAGGGGCGCGACGGCUCCUCCCGGACCGCCCGGUGGUCGGUGGAGUUCGUCCUCAACUCCGACGCCGUCCUCCGCCUCAAGAGCUGCUACGGCAAGUACCUCGCCGCCUCCAACCAGCCCUUCCUCCUGGGGAUGACCGGGCGCAAGGUCGUGCAGUCCCUCCCCCGCCGCCUCGACUCCUCCCUCGAGUGGGAGCCCGUCCGGGAGGGCAGCCACGUGAAGCUCCGCACCCGCUACGGCAACUUCCUCCGCGCCAACGGCGGCCUCCCGCCCUGGCGCAACUCCGUCACCCACGACGUCCCCCACCGCACCGCCUCCCAGGAGUGGAUCCUCUGGGACGUCGACGUCGUCGAGAUCGAGGUCCAGUCCCCCACCGCCAUGCGCCCCGUCGAGCCCCUCGACCACCUCGACUCCUCCCUCGGAUUCGAGCCCGCGACGUCGCCUUCGUCCUCGUCCGCGAAUUCCGGGCGGUUCUCUCGGCAGGAGGUGCGUGUUCCCACUUUACAUUUCUCUCUCUCUCUCUCUCUCUCUCUCUUUUCUCUCUUCAUUUUAGCAUCUAUGAAUGGUUCUUUGCGGAUUUAUGUUGCGCAAGUGCUUGACGAGAGAUGGCGCAAGUGCUUGACGAGAGAUGGAUUUUGGCCAAUUUUGUUAAUAGAAAUUUUUAUGGCAAGAUUCGAUUUUGUGGCCGAGUAAUCAAUCCCCUUGAAGAUAUGCACGCGCUGUUCGAUCUGAUUGAUAAAUUGUGCUUGUGAAGGACAGUUGCGGUGGACCUUAUAAGACUUCUCCACUGGGCUGAGUUUGGCAUUGAUCUGUCGUUACUCGAGCGAGCCGACGUUGAGUGUGUGGAAUUUGACUUAUUUUGUACUUGGAUUUGCUUGUGUAGUCGAACGAUUCUUAUGCUGGGUCACCCCCGAAAUUGGAAGGGAGGACCGUAUACUACCACAUUGCUGAUGAAAACGGGAAGGUCGAAGGGGAAGAUAUGGAAGGCUAUACUUUGAACUUCAAGGGGAACAAUGUGGAGGAAUUGACUCACAGGUUGGAGGAGGAGACAGGGAUGCAGGGCAUUUUCGUGUGCUCUCGAAGCCCAUUGAAUGGGAAGCUCUUCCCGCUUCGCUUGCAACUUCCCCCUAAUAUUUCGACUUUGCAUGUCAUCGUUGUGCCAUCCUCCUCAAUAGGUGAGAUCUUUGUUUAAACUCCUUGUUUUCUUUGCUGAGAAUUAUCUCUAUACUUUGGAGUAUAUACAUUUUAGGCCAGUUCUAACUCGAGUCUACUUGAGUAGUACAUAAUGCAUUGGAUGAUUGGUGAUUGGUCGAUAUUCUUCCAUUUGUGAUUUCUGAAUCCACUUUACAUUGAACUGCUGAUACUUUAGCAGCAUAAGACUAUGAUAUUUUGCUACUCUUCGGCAAAGAAGGACGACAUUGUCAUUUUGGCCAAUCAUGAAAAAAUGUGAUCUCUCUUCAUCUCAGUACUGAAAAAUGUAACACUGAAGAUUCCUUGAGUAAGAUAAAUAUAUGAAUGAAAUGUCGAAGGGCCUGAAAGGAUUUAGUAGUGAUGUAACAAUGCAUCCAAUUGCUAAAGUAAACAGUACAGAUGCAUCCGAUUUGGAGGAUGACAAGGUAAUCUUACUCUAGUGAGUUCAUGCUACCCCAAAGAGGAGCAGUCUCUUGGUUCUUAUAAUGGCUGUCUGGUGUUUAGGCGUUUAAUGCAGUGGUUCUCCUGCUGUAUAUAUCAAAACCUUUGUAUGAGUAGAAAAGGCAUGAUGAUUUUAUGAGGAAAAGCAGUGAGCAUCAUGUAGCAGUUUGGGCUUUAUAUCGCUUGCAUAGAUUGCCUAGAAUUGAGUUCCCAAGCAAACCGUUGUAGACAGGGUGAAGAACUCAUAGCUCAAUUCAUUUGGAUAAAAAAAGAUUAUUCAGCAUUCCAUCUACGAUGUCAGAGAGUUCUAAAAUCAGCAAGCAAAAUUUUAGGAGGUUACUUGGAACUAGAAUGGAAAGCUGGGUUGAAAAUGAAGCCCUCAUACCAUCUUGGGAAUAGCCUGGCGAGCGCAAAGUUACUAAACUCUAGGAGAGAACUCUUUUUUCUAUAGACUGCAGUGGCCACAGUAAUCUGAAGGGUGUACUUUGCCUUAUAGACCAGUUAAGGUGGUUGUUGAUCAGAUGGAUUGAGGACAAGAAAAGGAUCAACAACUUCCUAAUGUUAUAUCGUCAGCUGGUUACUAGCUCUAUUUUUUUUCCUCUCCAUUUUUUCAUGCUUUCUUUGUUGUUUGCAUUCGUCUAUGAAACUCUCUCUCUCUCUUUCUCUCUCCCUUCCUCUCUCUCUCAUAUUUUGCUCUGCUUUUCUUUCAAUGUAACAGUGGCUGAAGACUUCAUUAAGUAAGGGAUUGUGAAGCAGUCAUGGAGCAAGAGUAUAGGGCGUACAAAAACGUUCUACAGAAUUACAUAUUCAUAAGCUUUGAUUGAGUUCUGCUUUUACGCUUCCAGAGACCUCUACUUGUUAAUUGUUCGUAGAGGAAGUAUCGACCCAAUUUUAUUGCCUGAAAGCGAGAAAAGGAAGAUGUCAGAUGGGUGAAGUAUCAUAAUAGCACUCUCCAGUCUCCGUCACCGGCCAUGAUGUCUGCAGUUUCUGUCAGCCUUGGAAGUUUAUAAAUGGCACUUGGAAACUUUUCUAUUUAGGUUUAUACCAAAUUCUUUCAAUUUUUGUUUGAUUAAAUUUAUGUACGGUCCUAUGGUGAUGUGAGAUGUUUGGCUGGAUCAAUUUCCAUUGUAUCGUCCGACCCCAUUUGUACAAUUCGCAUGAGGUUGUUCUGUAAGUUGUUGGCACCCUGACCAUUAGUGUUUGCGUUUCAGCAAACUUUCCGGCUCAUACUGUUGACCGAAGGGAAAUUAAGUCCCCUAACCAUGUCAUUCGAUUGUUACUUAGCUGCAUCGAAAGAGCAAUUCAGCCAAAACCUCAUGGAAGAUGAUUAUUAUUCAAGCAUGAUCUUUGGCAGUGAAUAUGCCCGUGUCUCAUCUGUUUCUUAGCAACCGACUCCAAGAAAAAAUAUUAAAAGCAAGAGAGAGAAACACGAUCUUUUUCUUUUCUUUUCUUUUCUUUUCUUUUCUUUUCUUUUUGGGUCAGAAACGCGAUCUUAUUUAUCUGUGGAAGGCACAGGCCGAUCAUACUUUUGUCGACUGAGGAGGCGGCGGUCAGAUUGCAUAGUGGUGCGAAUUGCUCUGAAGGUAUGGUUGUGACUUGUUGCAGUUUUGCUCAAUCUUGUUCCUGAGCUCAUCCUUCUUGGCGCCAAUCACUUCGUCCACCACCUUCCCGUUCUUCAUCAGCAAGAAUGUUGGCAUCGCCUGCACCUCAUAUUGCCUCGCCACAUUCUGCAUUUCCACAACAACAACGUUCACAUUAUCCUGAGUACACACGAUCGAAACCCGACACCAUAUGGGCAUGCAAGUCCAACUUUAUUGCAAUGAUCAUGCGGCCCUUUUCAAUUCCUUGGAAGGGAAAAUAACGACAACCGUACCAUUAACUCAUCGACGUCGAUCUUGAUGAAGUCGACGUCAGCGAACGUUUCUGCGAGCUCGUCGAUCGUCGGCUCCAUCCUGCGGCAAGGUCCGCACCACGUGGCGGUGAAGUCGAUCACCAUCUGUUGCCAUACCAAUAUUUUGAAGCACAGUCAAUAUGAAGCAAUGGAAAUGAUGAAUGAAAAAAGAGAGCAACAGUUCAGUCAUCAAUGGAGCAGCAUUAACCAGCUUGUUGUUCCCUUUCGACGCUUCGAAAUGCUCAUCCCAUCGAGAUUUGGAGUGAAACUCCAUGACACGGCUCGCCUUCGCAGGAGCCCAGUCGUUGUGCUCAUCCCAUCGAGAUUUGGAGUGAAACUCCAUGACACGGCUCGCCUUCGCAGGAGCCCAGUCGUUGCAAUCUCCGGAAGACACGUUCUGUCCCAUCAGUUAUUUCCUUUUUCCUUCUCUUUUGUCCCUACAAUACGACGGCUAAUGGCUUAUGCAAAAGCUAGCAAAUGCUUUGGGGAUUGGGAGGUGCUUUGCUUGGCUUGGAUUAUAAGGAAUUGGUGGGGGGUUUUAUACUACAAUAAAGGCAGCAAUGGAACCAUCGUUACGCAUCGGAAUAGAUUCUGACCACGACAGGUGGUCCAGCAACAUGGUGUUUCUCCAUCGAACUGACGGGCGGGACAUGGGAGCAUCGUUCCCUGAAAAGAAGGGAGGAAAAAAAACACCUUGUUUAAAAGGGGGCAAAGGCAUAUAACGCUUGCGAAAGAAUUCGUUACGUGACCAUUGAUGGUUUUUAUAAUGCAAAGACAAACUGAUAGCGUGUCCGUACUACGCUACUUGCUUGGUGCUUGAGAGGUUUUCGAUUUGGUCAAGUUUUGUGUUCGAACCGCUUUAUUAUUUUUGUGUACGAACGGACGACGAUGCCCCAAUUCGGGUUGCUAUCUUUCGCGUUGGGUGCUAUACAGGUCAUACAAGCUUGGAUUCCCAGUCAAGCACAUCUCUAAUUAUUUCGGUGUUUUUCCUAUUGGGGCUCAAAAGAAAUUUGUUAGGCACACUAGAUAUUCCGUGAGAACCUCAUCGCAAGUGCGAUCAAUUUCAUAAUCCCUACUUCCACCAUAGAAUUUGGAUAAAUGCAAGUCUAGAAACAUUCCCACCAAGUCCUUAGCUGCAUUAGUUUAAAAAUGGGUGAAACUAGAUAUACACGAGUCACACCACUUAUACAACCAUUUCACAGCAUUUAGUAAACAAAAUUGGGUACACUACCUGAGAGGUUACUUGGUACAAGUUUCAAUCGGUGAAGUUAUACUGAUGUAUAGCAAGAGUCUGACUUGAAAGUAGAAUUUCCCAUCCGGGACUAUCACCUAAUGCAUGGACACAACCUUUAUUUUGUGCUGUGACAAUUCUCAUAAUGAACGGUGCACUUGAGUUUUCCACGUCAGUACUCUUGCUGGUUCUAACAAACGAGUCAGCUCCAGUUGAUUAGAAUUGAAACUGGUGGGACUUGAUUAAGAAAGUAAUGCAAAUUUCAAACCUAAUUAGAUAAAUCAAAAGUUUAAGGACUGAGAUUGAAAAAAUGUGUAAGUUUAGGGAGUAAAGGUGGACUUUUACCUAAUGACUGAUGUCUAAGAAUUUCCGCAAUUUAGUAAUUUUCUAGAACAAAUUGAGGACUUUUGAUAGAUGAUUCAUUACCUCAAGAAAUAUAUACGAAGGUAUCUUCCCUCGCCUUAAUUAGAGAAAACUUCUCGAGCCACAAUCUGAUUGGUUGGUUAUAAAUAUUGAUGUCACUCACUUCUAUCUUAAGUUUAUUUAUGACAAUUUCAAUGUUUCAUAACUCAUCAAUGAAAAAAAGAAAAAUAAGUUCGAGCAUUUGACUAUCGGUACGUCAAUUGCCAAAUAUAGCCAAUCACGGGGGAUUUUGAUUUCGAUAAUCUUUGGCACCAAAAAGGGGAAAAACUGUGGGCCGCUCAGGAUGGCGGAAGGGUAAAGGGAAUAUUAUGAUGCCCUAUCUAAAUCGCAAAUUAAAGCCUAACAGUCCAUGCUUCCAAGUGAACAAGGAGAGCAUGAGAUUCUCUUCCACUAACAAAUUCUUUUAAUCCUAUAAUGAGCAAUAAAUCAAGAUGCAUCCAAUUUGUAAGUGAACGGUAACGCACUCUGGUAUUUUUCUGCUUUUGGCCACUCAGAUUACGUGAGGCAAACGAAGUGAAUGACUGCGCACGACGCAGUUGCAGCGGCACCAACGGUUCUCUUUGCCUAGGUAGAAUAUAAUCGAUCGUUUGACAUACCAAAAGUGAAAGACACCGGAUACGCCGUCAUACGCCAUUACAGAGAUUCGAUUGCCGACAGACGACUCUAAAUCGAAGUGGGCAUGGCUGUCAUUUUCUUCGACAAGCGGAAAACGAAAGAAUUCUGAUUCUGAAUCCGCCUCAAAGCUUGAGGAACCAAUUUUCUGCCGAGCAGGAGUUCAACGGCCUAGCAACACCAAAGGUCGCAAUCGGAAGCACCGUCAGCUCAGUGCUGUCCCUGCACUGUCCAUGGCAGGAGUUGCUCCAAACUCUGCAUGACAACUAGAGAUCAGGGUUUGCUUGGGAAGCAGGGAGAGGCGAGGGAGGCGGGUGGGCGAGGAAAAAUGGAAAAGAACAUUGAAUUUAUCAUGAGAGGUAAACAGAGAGAUACAAAAUUUUCUGUCUCUCCUAAGUUUUCCACCCUCGCAGACAAAGCAUAAACAACGCAUUAAGCUACCCUGAAUUUUACCACAUAAUUUCGUAUAUCCAUUCUAACUGGGAACUACUUUUCACCUGGUGCAUCCCCAAAUGGAAACCCUUCAAGGGCUACAUCUGGAAGACUACGGCAUAUCUCCAAAGCACAAGGCAACGAGGACCAAACCCACCGCCCCUCUUCCCAUGCACAUUCUUAUAUGCCGCCUUCGGCAUCUUAAAGCGGAAAAUUAUCUUCCUAAGCUUAAAAAGCCAUUGCUAAACUCUUCUACAGAGAUCGCCAACGAAAAGAGAAGGGACUGGUACGAAUUAACUAUUUAGCAAUCGGCACAAUUAAACCUAAAGACAAGUUUUUCUUUGGACUCCGAACGAAAGCAAAGUUCCGUUUUUCUUCUUUUCUCGUCAAAAUUUAAGAUAUUAUCGAACUUUAGAAAUUUACGAGAAACUAUGUGGAAGUACCCAGAAUUUCGGAUUCGAAAAAACUCCAAUCGCGUGAUCUCAAGAUUUAGAUCAAGGAAAAAGCAAAAUGCGAAAGUCAAUCCAAACAUACCCUAAAUUUCUACAGAAUUCCACAUUUGAAAAGGAUGCUUCAUGUUUUCCCAGAAAGCGUUCAGUCAUCUAAACUCCUGGAAUGAGAAUAGAGUCCGGUAAGUGAUAUUAAUCUAAGUUCAGCUUUAAGUGCAAACCACAAGCUCAAAAGCAUUGAGGUAACUUCACUUAACCAUAGGCAAAACUAGUAAUCCAUCACCCUCUUCACCGCUGAAUGUCUGCUCAUGAAGCCACCCCCACAUCAGCAGGGGCAUGGCCGUCAUGAACCGCCGGACCAUGGUUGUUGUAGGAAUGCACACCUCCCCUGCCGCCUCUCCCUCUAUUGUUGUAGUAGUUUCUAGGAUAAUAGUUACCGGGCUGCUCAUAAUAGUGGCCGCGCCCAUUCUGGUAGGGCCCACCGCCCCUCCCUCCACUUCUCCCUCCUCGACCAUUGGGAUAACCCCGGCGACCACCAUUACCUCCACCACGACCCCCUCUCUGGUUCUGGUAGUUUCUCCGAGGAAUGUACUGAUGAUCCUUCUGCUCUCUUUCCCUUUGAUUAAGCUCUUCCACCUGCGAAUUUACAUUUUCUUGUUGAGCUGAGGCAAACUCCGAAGGAUUAUCAGCUACUACGUCAUCCUGCGGAAAAGGCAGAGUCACUGAGCUCAUUAAUCUACUGAUAAAAGCAAACAUAAAGAUAUAGUGAGAAAAUCUGCAGGCACCUUAUGAACAUCAUCAACUGCAUUAGAUUCGUUAUCAACUUCAUGUCCUUGGAAGUCAGUCCCUGCUUCCUCCUAUAGAAGAAGGGAACAGUGUCAAGCAGAAAAUAAUCAACAACAAAUAAGCAUGGCUUCUCAUGCAAGAUAUUCAGUAUUAUUUUCUUGUUAUGCUACAUAGGAGCACACUCAAUUCUACUUGUUUGUUUGACAUGCAAAAUAUCAGACAAGAACUGCAAUAAAAGGCAAGCAUAUGUUUUUUGAAAAUUAGGAUGUCCUUGAUGAGAGAAGGGAGCCAUUGUAAGAGAAAAUACGAGAGACGCAUUUGCUAGGUUAUGAUAUUUGAUAAAUGGAGACUCAGGAUAGAAAAUCGAAUUUGUAUCCAAACAUUUUGUCAACAAACAAGUUUAUUGUCUCUCCAGGCUGUACAGUGCAACUAUGAUCAUUAAAAAGAUUGAUGAAUGCAUAUCGAUGACUAAUUGAUAAGACAAGAAUUCGGCUGUUAAAAGGAUUGACAAAAUAAAACAGGUUUUUUCAUAAAAGAGAACCUUUUGCUAAUUACCAUACCACAGUUCCAAAGUCUACUAAAUCCUAGUUAAGAAUAAGACUACAUCACAUAAUCUCAAGCAACCUCCUCCUUUUCUCCUUAAGAAGAUGCCAGUGCAAUGCCUAACUACAUAUAUAGUGCAACAAUGUUGAUUCACUAUUCUGUUUUGUUAUUCCUUUUCAUAAAAGGUUAACUAAAAGUAUGAGUUCUAAUGCCUAGAAGAACAGAAAACAGUUACCCACGCCUACCCAAAUCAUCAAAUGUGAUUAAAGUAAUCACAUAAACAGUGCAACUGCACUGCAAGAUCAUAUUGUUAAUUCUCAAAGAACAUAAAAUCACUACCAUAUAAUUAGAUUGCUUAAACAUCAGAAAUAAAGUAUCAAAUUUUAAACCCAAAAAAAAAAAGGAAUCUCUUUCUUCUUCUAAUGAUUAUUAUUUAUCUUUUCCAUUCUCCUUUUAUAUCAACUGUUACUAUUAUUUUGAGUAUAAAGAUUAAGGGAAACAACCAAAAACAUGGACAGAUAUGCUGGACCGAAGCAGGAAGAACACAUAAAAUUAGAUAAACAUAAUUCCUUUUUCUCCAAGAAAUAUCAAUGUAUCAUGAAAACAAAGAGAAUCUGCACACAAUAAAAGUUCAAAACAGAAGCUAUCUAAUGAAAAGGAAGACAGCAAAACUUUUCCUAAGAGAACUAAUCAUAUGGAGGAGAUUUCAUAUCCAAUUUGGAGCAACCAGGAAAGGCAUUUAAAUCAUAUACAGACAGCUUGUACAUGAGGGAGUAAGUUCAUAGAUCUUAUGAGAUAUUACUUGCAGCACAUAACAGGGUAACCUCACCUAUGACUUAAAAGUAGUAAGUAACGUGUUGACAUAGAAUUCCAGAAACAUUAACAAAAUGGAAGCAAAUUCAACGGAAUGAACUUCAAGAAAUGGUUUGUAACCUUAUCCACAGUGAUAAAAGAUGUAAUGGAAAUUUGUGAUUGAUGCAAUUAAUCAGCUAAAGAAGUAAAAUUAGCCAAUUUCAUCUAUUUUUCAAACAAGAUAAAACCAAUAACAUUGGGCAUCAGACUUUACACUGCAUGCACUGUGGCAAGUGCAUGCGCACACAUUCACAUAUACAAUGCCCUGUCACACAAAAGAAGCCCUGUCUAAUGUUAGUGCCAGCUUAAAAGUUGAAUUAUAAGCCCUAAUUACCCCUAUUCCAAAAGGAGAUCAUAUCUUCCCAACACUUCUAAUUACUCUCAAAAGCCCGUAGCACUACUUGUGGAACCUCCAUAUCCACGGGCUUAUUUUCUCAGCAAAAUGGCAAAUGGCACAUAUAAUAUGCCCAGUCAUUGUCUCAUGAAUUUCCAUAACCCUACCGUGCAAAAAUAGGACAUCCAUUUAAAUGCAUGUUCGUGUUAAUACACACACGCACACGUACAUAUAAAGUGAUCUUUCUUUAUCCAAUAGAAGGUGUAUUACGUUUGCAUGGUCCUUCUACAAUAAAAUUAGGCAGUUGCUUAUAUAGUUUCCUAUACACAAUUCUGCUAUUUACUUUACCAAAAUCAUUUUACUGGAAAAUAGGAGUAGGAGAAAUCAUCAUAAGGUAGAAGGUAGAAAGAGUGAGUAAGUCUUCAAAUUGAAAUGCUCGCUAUUUUAAACUAACUUACACAUGUCAAUCAGCAUGCCAUUAUGUGAACGACCAGGGUCCAAUAUCAGAUCCAUCAUCUAUCUAUCUCCAAAUUACUUUCACCCAACAUAGAAUGUCAAAAACCCUCUUUAUAACGCCCAUCCACUAAGGGGGAAAGAAACAAGAGGGACCUCACAUGUAAAUUUGUUGGAAAAGGAGCAAUCCUUGAUAUGCAUAGACUUGGAUAGAUGAAUAUUACUAAAGAAAUUGACAACUUCAUACGCAACACUUACACUGACAACCUAACCUGUCAAACUCAAAAUUAGUUGUUCUUUUUAUCUUCUCUUGACAAUCCAGCAGAAGAUUCAAGAAGAAAACUCAAAAGGCAUUUAGGGUUACGUCGGAGGGUACACAACAUCUACUUUGUGAAUACUAGGUGUCGUUUUGUCCUAAAAAUACCAAGAAAUUAAAUACAGUCUACCAUGUGCAAUUCAAGAAGAAAACUCAAGGGUGUUUAGGGUUAGGCUGGAGGGUCUCUACACAACACCUACUUUGUGAAUACUAGAUGUUGUUUUGUCCUAAAAAUACCAAGAAAUUGAAUAUAGUCUACCAUGUGCAAUUUCCUCCAGCAAAGUGACUAUUAACCUUUCUCUCUCUCUCGGACUACACUUUUGUUGAUAACAUUGACAUGUAAAACACUCUUCUUCCUUCAAAUCUUUUAGCUAACAGACUGCAGCCCCUAUCAAAACUUUAAAUUGAAAAGUUCAAUAGCCUCUAAAUUUUUCAACAUGUACUUAAAUUUUUAUCAAAAGUCUCUCAGGAUAAUAACUUGAUUACAUGUGAAUCAAUUGACUGUCAACAUGCAAGGGCCAUUGCAACCACCAGAUUCAACUACAUUAGUGGUAGGGUAGAAUAGCUAAAGCACUCUUGUUAAAAUGUCCCUUUAGUUUUUUAGCAGAGAUCAAGCAUGAGGGUAAUGCAUUAGUAUUGAAAAAUUGGGAUGGAAGAUUGCUACAAUAAAAUCUAGAUCAUAAGAGGCAUCCAAGAGCAAAUACAUCGAGUAAUUGUCAAAAGAAAUUGCCAUAAUAAGCAAGAUUAAAGAAUUUAAAGAUAUCACAAAGAAAACAACUUUCAAGAAACUGGAAUUGAAUAAAAACUCAACUCUAACUGAAACUUCAAAAUUCAUACCAUUUAAAAACAAAAUAAAAGCAAACCCACAUAAUCAUGCAGACCAUCAAUGAAGCAUGAACAGCAGAUAUGUCAACUAUAUUACCAGGGAGGGAAAGGGACUUAGGAUGGUGUUGUAGCGGGAUGAAUACCGAGUACUGACCCACUAAUAGGCAAAAACAGUCAAAUGAAGAAGGAAAAUUAAGAACAGAUGAUGAUGGUGAGGAGGGGGAGGUAGAGAAUGAGGUGUCCUGAUACACAUGGGAAGCGCAACUGACUAGUUGUAGCGGGAUGAAUACCGAGUACUGACCCACUAAUAGGCAAAAACAGUCAAAUGAAGAAGGAAAAUUAAGAACAGAUGAUGAUGGUGAGGAGGGGGAGGUAGAGAAUGAGGUGUCCUGAUACACAUGCCAAACUCAUUACAACAGAAUCCACUCUUUUCAGGAUCUAUCCAAGUCCAUUUCCCCCUGUUUCAUUACCUUAAGAUGAUGCAUUUAACUGCCCACUGCAAUCUAUAAAUGUCAUUAGCCUGUAAAUUAGGUUGUAAUGGGUAGUUACAUGCAAUUGAUGCGUUGGUAGCCCGUAAUUGAUGCAAUAGACAUCAAUCUCUGUAGGUUAGUUCCCUAUCUUUAGAAAGAUUUUUUUUUUUUAAAAAAUGGUCAAUUUACACCAUUUUGCCUACCAACCAACAGAGAUAGGUGUCUUCUAUUGUAGUUGCAGCAAAAGCUUGAGUAUUCUCCAAAACCAUUAUUUACUGGAACUAGCACCAGGAUUUAUUAAAUGAUGACAGGACACCGGAACUACAGGAUAAAGAUUCAAUUGCAGAGACUCACAUGCCACACUAAAAUAAAAGGACAGGUGACAAUGGAAAAGGAAGGAAUAGAUUCAGAAGUCUUCUAAAGGAUGGAUAACAGACUCUCAGACAAAGCAUUGCAGUAACUGAUCAUAUCGACAAGUUGCAAAAUGCAUACAAGAAAAAUCUGAACUUCUCAGAACUAUCAAGUAGAGAAAAAAUAAUAAAUCCAAAACAAGAAUUAAAGAGACCAAACCUCCUCCCAAAGUAAAAUAUAUAACACGCCAAGAACUACGCAAGGAACAAUCCACACACCUAUGAAACAGAAUAAGGAUGCUUAACAACAUCACAGCCAUAGUAUGUAGAAGAGAUGCACAAACCAGAUUACAGAUAAUGCAUCAUGCAUCUCAUACAGAGAAAAUCACAGUAAAGUAAACAGAACGCAAAAAGAAUACAAUGAGGAGCCUCAGGGUUUAGCAAUCUUCAAAACAUCGGAGAACAUCACAGCCGCAGUGUAUAUAUCAGAUAACAAGUAAUACGCCAAUCAUCGCAUAAGGCAAAGUCCAGUAGAAGCAAAACUAUAUGCAAAUAUGCACCAUUUUGUUUUACCUCCUGCUGAACACAUAACAUAUCUUGAUUUUAACAGCAAGUAUGCAUUUACCUUCUGCUCGUACUGAGGCUCUUCACUUUCUACCUGGACAGGCACUGUGACUGGGACCUGAAAAGGCACAUAAUUCCCAGAAGCAGCAGCAGCAGCCAUAUCGACCGGAGCUUUCAUCUCCGGCGUCGUCGUGAAGUAAUCGGAUGCCAUUAUCUUAUUCAACCGCUCCCUCAAUGACGCAUCUGCGAUUCAAACUUCACUGCUAAGAUACCCAAAAACCAAAAAAAAAAACGCAACAAAAUCAUGAUCAAAGACGCAAUCGGGCAAAAAAGAUGUACAAGUAACAGAAGAGUCGGGCUCGAUCGGCUCGUCGGAAUUGGCGAUCCAUUGUGUGGCGUGGUGAAGACACUUCUGCAGAGCGUUCUUGUGCGACAAGCUGGAGUCGGCAGGCCUCGAGAUCAAGAGGCUGCUCAACGUCGCAAUCAAGUCCAGGUCCCGCUCCUUCAACAGAUCGGUGGCCUCGUCCGUCACGUAGUCGUAAGUCAAGCAGCAACCGCGCUCGUGCGUCCUCGUCAGCAUCGUGGAAGUGUAAUCGCUCUGAGAGCUGACCGCGAACAUCGAGCCAAAGUAGAGCAGCUUCAGCACAUCCUUCACGACGGCAUCGCCGCCGUCCCCCGCCUCCUGCUCCUCCUGCUGCUGCGGCUGCUUCUCGGCGGCGUCGGCGGCGGCGGCGGCGUCAUCGUCGCGGGGGAGGCGCCGGGCGGCGAGGGAGAGCUCCUCCUGGACGGCGAAGGAGAGCUGGGGGCGGAGCUUCUCGAGCUCGUCGAUGGAGGCGAGGACGGAGGGCUUGGAGCGGAGGACGUCCUCCUGCUCCUUGUUGAUGGGCUUUCCCUGGGCCAUGGACUCCUCCAUCUGAUGGAUGCGGUUGAGCUUCUUGCGGAGGGCGCGGAGGCGCUUGUUGAUGAGGCUGACGACGGGGCCGUCGGUCGCUUCGGAGGGAGGGACGGGCGACGCCAUCGCGCGGUGGUCCGGCGAGAGGGGGAGGAGGUUAGGGUUUUAGGGCGGCGGCGGCGGCGGCGGCGGCGGUGGGCGGCCACCGAGAGCGGCGGACGAUUCGGGUGUAUGGAGGGGGAGGAGGAGGAGGAGGAGGAGAAGUGCGAGACAGUGGUUGAGGAGGGGUUUUUAUGUAUUUCCGGCUCCUGCCACUCCGGUCUUCGAGAUUUAUCUCUUUAUAAUUCAUUUACUUUUUAGACUUUCAUUUUAUCUAGUCGCAAACUAGGUAAUUCCAAUAUAUAUAAAUGGAGAUGAAUUUAGAAAAAUCUAAACUCUUCGCUUUAUGGCAGAACAAAUUAUUAUAACGGAAAAUUGUCAUUAUGUAGUGAGAAACAAAUAAAGUUUCCUGAUCAUGUUAAUUAUAUGUUAUUCAUUUUUUUUAAAGUGUAGUAAAAGAAGAUUCUCGGACAAAGUGUUUUAAAAAUAUAAUAAAAGGCAAUGAUACGUAAAACCAGAACAAUUGCAAGCAAGUAUAGUUAAUAUUACGCUCUAAUAAUUAUUCCAACCUAAUUGCAUGUUAUAUUGUCGUGGAUUAUAAAUAAUUGUUUGCUAUGUAAUAUGGUUAUAACAUAUAGUAUUUACAAUAUAAUUAAUCAAACUAUUAAACGGGUUUAUAAUUGAUAUGAUUAAUUAUCAUGUACGGUAAUAAAAUGCAUUAUGGGAAUUUCGGUGUUGUCUUCUUAUUCAAUUGCAAGACAGCUUGAAAACUGAAAAAUCAAAAGAUACCGCUUCCAUAUUUAUUAAUAACGUGAAAGCCUAUGUUAGCGAAAAUAAAAUAAAAUCACUAUCCUUUUAUUUUAAAGAGACGGAAAUGAUUUUAUAAUAUAACAAAAGGCAGAGGGCAGUUUUGAAUUGCCGGUAAGACUGCAUGGAUUAUGAGAACUAUAAAAGAACAAAGCAGGAUGCAUUUUCCAAAAUGAAAGAAGGAUCGAGGAAUUCCACAAGAACAAAGUCAAAUAUGAACAAUCUCCAAGAUUGCUUUGCGCUGCCGGGACUCGACCGGGUUUGUGUCGCGAUUUGAGUCUAAUUAUGAACCUUAUUCGAUACAAAGUACAUCCACAACAGCCUGCAUGAAUCGGGUUUUACAGACUUUCGAGGGAGUUCUGUCCAUCAGGGUCAGUCUCAAAUGAGAGAGACUUCUGGCUUGCUCAUCCAUCACUUUCUUCCUUCAGUUCUUGGUCACAUCCACCAUCCGGACCUGAUAUUCUUUGCUUAUUAUGCAAGUGCUCUGCUCCUGCACAACUUAAUCUUGGGUGGUGUCUGGUAGCUAAACGACUUGGAUUUAUGAAUUCAGGGCACAGAAAGGCAUAUGCAGCUAAAUGACUUGGAUUCUCCGAAAGUGACAGUAAAACCAUAAACAUCUGCUGACCAAAAAGACGAAUAGUUCGCCGGAACAAUCCCAUUUUUCUUUUCAUAAUCAAUGUGAGCUUAUGUUCAGACUAGACCCUCUGCCAUAACGAAGUUCGACAUCAACCUCCCAUGCGAACUAGAACUGAGCCAAAAUCAUUUUCCAACGACAUAAGCUGGUUGGGUGCAGAGUCACACCACCUUGUUACAUGCUGCAGAUACACGAUCAAUCGCAAUAUCUCAAGCCAUAUAUAAUUAGAGAUAACACUGUACAUCAAAAGAUUAAAGAGGAAAUUUUUUAUCUGCUAUGACGAACUUUAACUUCCGUAUAAUUUAAGCUGCAUAAAGUUAAUAAACUGAAGACUUUGGAGCCCUGUACGAGCAUGAGAAGCAUUUAUGCACAAUACAUAGUGAUACAUGAUUUCAUUAUAAUCCAAAUCUGGCCUGUGCCAAGUGAACUGCUCCACUUAAGUUAAACAUUUCAUGAAGCAUAAGAUAGGUCUAGUUUAUAUGAAGUCUUCCUUACAUGCAACUUGGCAGCAUCAGAAUCAAUUCCAAGUAAAGAGUUCAGUAAAUCUACCAAAUACGUAGGUAAAUGGACUAUGUCCUGUUCAACUUUUAAGAGCUUCGAUAGUAACAGCACUGUUUCCCCCUAUAAACCGCAGCAUCAACGGGGAGAUUGUCGGUGCUGGCAAAAUAGCGAGGAUCAAAAUCAAACCUGUGAUUAAAUGAGUAUGAACCUGCCACCAUCCCUAUGUCAGUCUUGUCAUUCCCACUUAACUUCCACAGUGUUAUCUACCACUAAAUUAAUGAAUUGAUCCAACCACGGAAUGUUCCAACAACCAUCUUGUUUGCAUUAAGGCUGACUGUAGAGAAAAGAACAGUUACUUCUACUUUCUUAUUGAUAUCUAAAUGAAUCAAAUCAAGCCAUGAAAAGGGAUCCAUAGUCUCCCAUCAAUAAAUUUUCUUAAGUAAGCGACCAUAUGUACCAAACGUUCCGACCAAAAAAGAAUCCAAACACGUGGUUGUUGAACGGGUGAUCACAACGUAACAGUUCAAACUGAUCUCCAAAUGCACACCAGACUCUCAGCCAAUUUUCAUCUAUCCACAGAGAUAGUUCAACAUUCCAACACAUGCUGUAGAUGAAACACAUGCACGUACCAACAAACCUCAGACACACGGUAAAAAGUCAGGCAAUCAAGGCAAAUUACUCUUUGGAGUUCGCAUCUGAAGAACAAAACUAUACAGAUCAAAACCACAACUUCUUUUCACAAGCAAGAUCAACAUUAACGAAACAAGAUGCAGUAAAUGCCAAGCAGAUCGAUAAGCAUCAAGAACAUCAAGCUAAUAUGCAUUAUACAAAGUGGUGCAAACAGCUCAUUCGCCCCAGUAGAAUCUCAUAAGCAAAUCCGACAGGCUACAUGUAAUUCAUACCAUGCAACAUUGGAGUUCGAUAAUUCUUUAUCAGUGAACUAUUACGAGAUGCAAGGCAACUGAAUUGAUAUGCCACAUUGGAUAAUUCCAUUCAUAACAUCAAACAUCGCGUCAUUAGCCACAGAAGAAUUAAAGGCAACAAGCAAGGUACUCUGUCCCAAUCACAUAGAACAUAUGACUUCCAAAUUCCCCGAUGUUCACGCUGAGGUCUAGUUCUGAAAUUGGCUAUACAGCUAAAUUGAGAUCAUUACACACAAUGAAACCACUUCUGACGGACAACAACGAUUACUAGGACUUAAAACGCCACAGAAAUUGCAAAAAGGAAAAAAGUAGCUCACGAGUUGACCUGCUAAUUUUCCUAGCCAUUUCAUUGGCAAUAAGCCUAAUAAAGGCGAAUUAAUAGCUUGGAACGAAGGUUCCAAUAGUUUUUGGACAACUGCAAAAUAUUUAUUUAAUACUUAAAUUUACUUUUUGGUGCAAUCGAGCAUCUAAACAAUACAUUUCUUUUCAUGAAUUGGUCUGUUAUCAGAACCCUGGACCAUGUCCUUGAUUAGUAAAACCAAUCAUAGUAAGUUGUCAUACUUAGUGAAUCUUAGGUAACUGAAUCAGGCUAUUUAUCAAAACUGCAGAAGAAUACUGUCAUUUUAGAGCAUGGCUACUCGAAAUUCCAAUAUCUUAACAGACAACUCAACUGUCUGGUGAAAAUUGUACAGCGGAGGUGAUUAUUGGCCCAAAUGAAGCUCUAUUCAUGGACAAAAUAACAAAUGGCUUGGACAGUUCAAUGGUAUCUGAGACUGUUUCUUCUCUUCAGCAACUAGCACAUUUAACAUGUGCCACUCUACUGGUUUCGCUUCUUCAGCCUGUGCCAGAAAGAUUUGAUCUUUUUGAUGACCUUAUUCUGAUGGCUGAAGGGAAAACUGUGUACCAAGGCCCUCAUGACCGAGCUCUGAAGUUUUUUGAGAAUUGUGAAUCCAGGUGUCCUGAAACACUGAACAGAUUGUGCACUGCAAGUUUGCUUCCUUUAUUGACCAUUUGUUACAUUGCCUAUUGACAUGCAGGUGCGGGUCAUAUCAAGAAAAGACCGAGCACAUUAUUAGCAGCAUCCAGGGCUACCGUCAACAUGUUAUGUAAAAAGUUUGAGGAAUCUUAUUGUGGGACAAAGCUAGAUCUGGACCUUUCAGACACAUUAGAUAGGUCCAAAAGCUACAAAAAUGCUCUUUCCUUUAAUGUGUACUCUCUGUCUAGAUGGGAACUCCUUAAAGCAUGCUGGAGAGAGAACUUCUUCUCAUGAAAACAAAUUUUUUGAUCUAUGUUUUCGAAUCAGUACAGAUCAAAAUAAGCUCUCAUCCAUCUCUAGCAGCUUUUUUGAUGUAUAUCUCUUUCCACGUCCAUGCCUAUGAUAGGGUAAUAUCUAAUCUCCCUAAUUCCAAAAAUAUAAAGGAUUUUUAGAAGUUGAUAGUUGUCUUUUCAUCAUACAGUUUAUUUCAUUGCAUUUAUCAUGAUGACCAUAUUCUUGCGAACUCAAAUAGGAAUAGAUGCUUUCCAUGCCAACUACUACGCGCUUUCUCUGUUUUGCAUGCUAGUCAUACUCCACAUUGAUGGAUUCCAGAAUUGGAAAUGACUGUUUCGAGGCUCGUAGCCUUCUAUAAACAAAAGGCGCUGUACUUUUACCCUGCUUGGGCUUAUGCAAUUCCAGCAUGUAUACCGAAACUUCCCCUUUCACUGCUGAAGUCUGUGGUUUGGACAUCACUUACAUAUCAUGCGAUUAAAUACCGUCCUAGCGUUGGCAGGUAAGUUUUAGCACAAGAGUUCUUCAUUCCUUGCCUCCUAAACUUCUGUUACAUUGCAACAUCAUUUGUAAAUUUUACUGCCAUUUUACUCAAAAGUCAUGGCUUUCAUUGUUUUCUGCUUAUUUAUGCAGGUUCCUCUGCUGAUUACUACUUUACUCUAUGCACUUUCCUCAAAUUCAUGUUCCAUUUUCUGGCCUCAAUUUUUCAAACUGUGGCUGCUUCCGUCACAGCUGGUACUGUUGCAUUACUAAUCUUGUUGAUGGUUUUGUUGUUCCAAAACGUAAGUAUGUUAAAAUCUUGCUUCGGAUUGAUCUUGGAUGAAUAAGUGUGGCUUAAUAUUUUGCUUUGUUGCUGCAGCCUCUAUGCCUGCUUGGUUGAAGUGUGGUUUCUGGGUCUCUCCACCAACAUACAGAGAAAUCGGACUUUCUGCCAAUGAAUUUCAUGCCCCACGAUGGCAAAGGGGAGGGCCUUGCAGAGUACGUCCAAAUACAAGAAGCCACUUUAGUUGCAGAAGUACUCAACCCAUUUUAUUCUAGAAAAGUAUAUCGAUAUGCUGGUGCUGUUGGUUAGCUAAACUAACUUGGGUACUAAGUCAUUAGGAUACUUUGAUUGCAUUUAUAACUUGUGGAAAGUAGAAAGUUUCAAUUAAAUUCGAGUAAAUUUUAAGUACUCUUAUACAAGACUAUGUAGUCUCUUGGUACUAAAUCAUGCACAUGCGUUUUGGCUAAUGCUUGCUGUGACCAACUGUUGCCUCGGGAUAUUAUACAGAUUUAAUGUGGUGGAUCAGGGAAAUGACCAUUUGUGGUUGGUUUGAUCACACAAAAUGAGUCUAGAAGAUAAUUCACUCGGCUUGUACUGAUGGAGGCAACCAAAGUUCGAGUUUUGCAUACAAACUACACGUAAGGCUCGAUAUGGUGGAUGAAAAAGGUAAGUUACAGCAUGAAAAUGAGCUGAAAGAUACUGCAGGUCAAGUAAUCCGAUCAAGGAACACAAGUAAAUGGUCCUAUCCACUUGCACACGUUCUUGGAUGCAUUUGCGCUCCCCCUGCUCGAGAACUCUGGUCAGAAACAGCACCAAGUUCACUCCUGCCCUGAAGAAUGCUAGUGUUGUUGGCCUGGAUUUGCUGCAGCACAUUGAGGUGAACAACUGACACCAUGACACAAGAAUCUUUCAGUACCAAUCAUCACAUUGAACAGUAACAUUGCUUCUCAUAAGUGAAAACAUAACGGUCAGUCACCUAGGAAGAGGCUCGUCCACUUCCAUCCGCCGUGCUCUCCUUCUCGAUAACAAUGCCCUCAUCCUUGAAUGGACCUGUGUUUUCCUUGCUGCCAUAAUUUUCCUCCAUGGGAAAAAUCUUCUCCUCAUUCAUUGGCAUUGUCUUCUCUAGCCUGCAGCUAGAUUUGCAAAAGGAAAAUAAGGAAAUAAGGAAGGAGCCUAGAGCGAAUUCGAGAACUAAGAGUGCAUACGCCGGUGCAUUCGUGCGCGUGCACCUAGUCUAAUAUUUACAUGCUGCAAGGUGACUGAGUAAAUCACAAGAAAUAAUAGCCAGAAGGACAUGCUCAACACAAGCGUGUGCAUGGACAUACACCGUACUUUUCGUGUGAUCGGGAAUUCAUGCUAUAGUUGAGUUAGAUAGAAUUGUAUAAACCUUUUGCCAAGCCUCGACGUUGAAAUUGCACGGCCUUUUGGUAGAGGUCGGAGGUUCUUCUCUCUGAAAAGAGCUUUUAGCUAGUCACAGAUGAGUGAGACAUAUCCGAUGAACUAAAUAGCCAAAGAAAAGACAUCAAAGGAAAGUUUUCUUACCUAACGCUGAACACUAGCAACAUAAAAAGAAAAGGAACUGAACAAACACGGCACCCUCAGCAAGUCAUACAAAGAUUCUUGUGUCAUGGUGUCUGUUGUUCAUCUCAAUCUGUUGCAGCGAAUCCAGGCUAGCCACACUAGCAUUCUUCAGGGUGGGAGUGAACUUGGUGCUGUUUCUGACCAGAGUUCUUGAGCAGCGGCAAACAACAUGAGCAAGUUAGACCAGGACCGUUUACCUGUGUGCCUUGAUCAGGGCAUUCCUCAGCGACUCGUACUGGGGACGUUACUUGACCCACACCAUCUCAUUUUCAUGCUGGUAAUUAGUAACCGACCUUUUUCAUCUACCAUGCUGAGCCUUACAUUGAGUCUGUAAAAGUUGAAUCAAACCGACCACAUUAAGAAACCAUUGCCAACAGAUGUUUUUGCACCGCGAAUGGUCAUUUCCACGAUCCACCUCAUUAAGUCAGUAUAAUAUCACCGUGGCAACAUUAGGGCACAGCAAGUAUUAACCAAAACAUGUGCGUGAUUUAGCACUAACAAUGCCCUCAUGCUUGAAUGGACCUCUUGUUGCCGUCUUCUCUAGCCUGCAGCUAGGUUUGCAAAAGAUAAAUAAGGAACGAGUCUAGAACAAUUUCGAGAAUCGAGAGUGCUUCUGCACAUACAUUCGCGCAUACACACCUCAGUCUAAAGGAUAUGCUCAACACGAGCAUGCACAUGGACACACGCUGCACUUCUCGUGCCAUCGUAAAUUCAUGGUCCAGUCCACAGUUAGAACUGCACGAACCUUUCGCCGAGCCUCGAUGUUGAGAUCGCGCGGCCUUAUGGUAGAGGUCGGAGGUUGUUCUCUCUUCAGAGAAGUUUUUAGCUAGUCUGAGAUAAGCGGAGACAUAUUCGAUAAACUAAAUAGCCAAAGGCAAAGACAGCAAAGGAAAGAUUUCUCACCUAACGCUCAAAGGACGAUGGCAACAAAAGGAAAAAGAUCCGAACAAAACCACGUGGCUGGUAACCUCAGCAAGUCACGGACGAAACUCCAUUGGAGUAUGCACUCCGUGCGGAUGCCUUCAUGCACGGCUCUUGUGUGGUGUCUUCUUGCACGACUAUGGCGUUGCGUACUUUGCUUUACGCAGGUGAUGAUGAUGAACUUCAAAAUCAAGGACACGCGGUUGGUGCCAAACGAAGAAAGGACCUACAGUCCAAAUGAAACGCGAAUAUGGAAGGAGAGAGCUGGCAAUGCAGAAAGUUUGAGGUGAGUUUAACCUGAAAAGGGACGUCAAAAUUACCUGUUCACUUAUUUAUGAACCUAGUAAAGAUUUACCGGGGCAUACUAUACCACUGGUUUUGAAUUUUUUUGUGACACUAAAAUUAGUUUAGGGUAAAUAUGAUACGAGUUUAUCAUAUUGAUAUUUUUUGUGUGAGACUAUAAUUAGGUUGGGUUAAAUCAUUAAAUGCGGCACGAGUAUAACAAUUUGCGAUUUUUUGCGACUUGAGUGUACUAUUUUGGGAUUUUUUUGUGUCAUUUAACCCUAUUAUGUAUGGCAAUAAUAAAUUUUUUAAUUAUGUUAGUUAUUAGUUUUAUAGUUUAAAAAUGUGUGGUCAUAUAAGAUUCUCAAAUAAAGCGUUUUUGGAAAAAAAAAAAAAAAAAAGAAAAGUUAACUACAGGUAAAAUUAGAACAAUUUUAAUUAUAAACUAUUAAACUUUAAUAAUUAUUUUUCAAUAAUUGCAUAUUAUUAAUGUAUGAUUCAUCAGUAUAUAAUGUGGUUACAACAUCCAUUAUCAUUAAUAUAAUUAAUCUAAAUGUUAAUUACUUGGAAAAUUCCAAGUAAAAGUCUAAAGUGCCCUCAUUUCUUCAAAUAAGGGCAUAAAGUGAAUAUUAUUUUUUUAAAAUGACAUGAAAUUGUCAUAUUAAUUUUAAAGAAUGGCCUGAAGUGACUAGUUUAAUUUUACGUUUAGAUGAAAAUAUCCCUAAUCAACCAAAAAAUUUUGCCAACCAACGAGACUAUAUACUUAUUUGAAACAGUCAUAACCACUUCAGUACCUUUUUUGAUAUUAAUAUAACCAUUUUAAGCCAUUAUUUAGAAUAAAGUCCACUCCAGGCUCUCAUUUAAGAAAAUAAGGUAUUUCAAACCCUUAUUUGGAAUUUUCCCACUAUAAGACGUAAUAAAAUAUGCUUAUGACAUAAGUAAUGCAGAAAAUUAUUUGAUUAGCAAUAUUGCAUGAUAUCAUUUUUAAAACGUUAUUAGAAUUUUACACUACUGACAAUAGUAUGAAUACUACCUACGAUUACCACCCUAAAGACAAUUGCCUCUUUUCAAAAUACAGAUUGUCUAGUUUAUAUGAUUAUACAUAAUAUUCAAUUAAAGAAAUAAUUAAUGCUCAUUUUCCCCAUAAAUUUUAUAUAUCAUGUUUAAUUAUUGUUGGAAAUCUUUGCACUGAGACUCGACCGUAUUCGUGUAGCAUACACAUCUAAUUCUAUAGACUCAACCGGGUUCAUGUAGCACAUGCAUUUGAUUCUAAUUCCAACCAUAUUCCAUAUGAAAUACAUCCACGACAGAUUGUGCAAAACCGAGUCGUAGAGAAAGCAAGAUUAAACAAGGCACGGGUCACUGAAUAGCUUGCUGCAUCAAGGGAAUUAUGUUUUUAUGAGAGGUCACUCAAUAGUUUGCUACAUUGAUAUCAAUUCAAACAUAAACAUUUUAAUUUGACCAAUUUGAUCCUAAACUUGUUUACAUUAAUACCAAUUCAAUUAUAAACCUAUCGGAUUCAGUUUUAGACGUUUUCAUAUUGAUACUAAUUCACUUCAUCUAGUCUUAGUUGAUUGACACUACCGUGAUAAUUUUUUAAUAAUUUUUUUAUUUCUUCAAAUUCUUUUUAUUAUUUUUCUUUUUUCUUUUCUUUUUCCCUCCUCUUUCUCUUAGGAUCCCAGCAAUGGCCGGUGAGGACGAGGCUCCGGUGAGGCUCUUCAAUCACUAGGCAAGGUUUGCAAAGCCCUUGCUAGCCACAAUGAGGAUCCAAGGAGGAAGAAGAGCAAAAAGAAAAGAAAAAAGAAAGAAAAAUUGAUAAUAAAAAUUCAAAAUUUAAAAAAAAAUUCAAAAAUUCAAAAGAUUGUCCCAUCAGGUCGAACAACCGACAUCCAUGUCAAUGUCGAUUAACCAAAAAUUGACUGAAUAGACUGACUUGAUACCAAUGUGAAAAAGUUUAAAAUCAAAUUAGUCCAAUUAAAAGAUGUAAAACUAUUGAUACAAACACAAUAGAUUGAGAACUUUUUUGAUAUUUUUCCCAAGGUCACAAAAAAGAGAGACUUCAUCUAGCUCUUCAUAUUUCUUUAUGUAACUGUUCAUUCCCGCAGUGAAAAUAAGCAUCAAGAUCUUGUGUAUUACAGACGCAUUACCUCAGAACACAAAAAGGCAUAUGCAGCGAAACAACUCAGAUUCUCCCUGAAAGUACAGUAAUAACCUAUAACAUCUACUGAUCAAAAAGACAUAGUUCACUGGAAUAAUUUCACUUCUUUAACCUAAUGAAUCUAACGGUUAAAUUCUAACCUCAUAUCCAGGCUAAACCUUCUCCAUUAUGAAGCUCAUAUCACCAAUCGACCACUCCUACAUACUAGAACUGAACCAAUAUCAUUAUCGAACGACAUGAGCUGGUUGGGUACAGACUGAUUUCACAUGCCACAGACAUGUGAAUCACUUGCCGUAUCUCAAGCCAUAUAUUUAGAUAUAAAUACUGUAAAAUGAAAGAUAAAAGAGGCAACUUAUAAGUCAGCCUGAUGAAUUUGAACUUCUCUCAAAUUCACUCUAAUUCAAGCAGCAUAAUGUUGAUAAACUUAAGACUUCCCAACACUGUACGAGCCAGUGAAUAAUUUGGUCACAAUGUAUGGAGAUACAUAAUUUCAUUGAAAUUCAAAUCUGGCCUGCGCCAAGUGCACUACUCCACUUGAAGGUCAAUAUUUCAUGAAGCAUAAGAUAGGUCGAGUUUAUACAACAUCCUCCUUACACGCAGCUUGGUAGCAUCAGAAUCAACUGCAAGUAAAGAGUUCUUUAAAUCUACCAAAUACAUAGCUAAAUGGAUUAUGUCCUGUUCACAGGUUCAAGAGCUUCCACAGUUACAACACUGUUUCCUCUUAUAACCUGCAGCAUCAAUGGUGAGAUUAUCAGUGUUAGCAAAAAUGCAAGUCUCCAAAUUAAAAUUGAAAUUCAAUUAGUAUGAACCUACCACCAUCCCUAUGUCAUUCUUCUCAUUCCCAUUCACUUCGACAGUAUUAUCUACCACUAGAUUCAUGAACUGAUCGAACCCACGGAGUGUUCCAACAACCAUCCUAUUUGCGUUAAGCUUAACUGCAGAGAAGAGAACAGUCAGGUCUACUAUCUUAUUGAUAUCUGGAUGAAUCAAAUCAAGCCAUGAAAAGGAUCUUUUAUCUCCAUCAAUGAAUUUUCAUAUAUGCAAACCGCCAAUAGUACCAAAUGUUUCAAUAAAAAAGAAAAUACACAAACGCAAGUGAUCUAUGAACAGGUAAUCACCACGAACUGUUCAGACUAAUCUCAAAAUGCACACCAGACUCUAAGCACAAUUUUCAUCUUCCAACGACAAUAGUCUGACAUUCCAACCCAUGCUGCAGAUGAAACACAUGCACAAACCAAUGAACCCCACAAACCAAAAUACUCAUAUGAAGAAGAUAGAACAUAAUUAGGUAAUCAAAGCACAUAACUCUUGGAGUUCACAUCUGAAGAACAAAACAAUACAGAUCAAGGCCACAGCUUCUUAUCAUAACCAAGACCCAACAUUGACAAGUCAAGACGCAGUACAUGCCAAGCAGCUCCAUCGGUGUUGAGGAUAUCAAGGUACUGUGCACUAUACAAAGGGGUGUGAACAGCUCCUUUGCCCUAACCGAAUCUCAUAAGCAAAUCCAACAGGCUACACAUUACCUAGACUGUAAUUUGAAAGAACCCAUAUCACGCAACAUUUGAAUUCACCUGUCCCUUAAUCGGCAAACCAUCAUGAAAUGCAAGGCAAGUGAAUCCAGACAACACCACAUUGGAUAAUUUCACCCAUAGCACGAAACAACAUGGCGUCGUUUGCCGCGAAAGGAAUUAGAGGCAAAAAGCAAGUAACACCGUCAAAAUCACAUAGGACAUAUAUGACUACGAAAUCCCACGAUGUUCACCCUGAUCUCUAGUUCUAGAACCGGCUACACAGCUAAAAAAUUGAGCUCGCCGCACGCGACGUAGAUCCACGAAACCACCUCGGACAGACAACGACGAACACUAGAACUCCAAAGAAAAAAAAAAGCCACAGAAAUUGAAAAAAGAAAAAAUUGCAACGACUUACUUUGGAGCUUCUUGUCCAUGUACCUGAGCAAAGAUAGCAAAAGGAAAGCUAUGUCAGAGAGGAAACAAGGGAAAGACGUAAAGCAAAACAGAGGAACAAGAGAGAGAGAGAGAGAGAGAGAGAGAGAGAGAGAGCUUCUUACUUCUUGAGAUCCGGAGGCUGGCCCGAUCUGCUCAUGGUGACGACUUUCGCAGGGAUGCGCGGGACAAGCAGAGGGGAGCUUUUGGAGUGGUGAAGUUACAGUGCACGAUGCGCUCCCAAAACCCUAGAGCGUCGAAGGAUGACGAAGAUGAUUGACUUUUUUAUGUUGUGGUGUCUGCGAAGCGAUGUCGUUUCUGGGAUCAGCGGCCCAUGAAGAGUGAAGCCCAGCGUUGAGUUUGGCCCAAUACUCGUGAACUAUUCCUCCUCAGAUGAACGGCCCAUGACAAGGGAUCUUUUUUCAAAAAAAUAUUUUUAAAACAUUUAUUUUCCACAAAAUAAGGGAACUUGAUCACCCAAAAAAAAAAAAAAUAUCCAAAAUCUUAUGGCUACGGCAAGUCAAUUCAACAUUGGGUUAAUUAUCAAGCAAUUUUGGUGAGAAAUCUUUUGCUCUGACUUAUAAAAAUUACAAAAAUAACUUUUUCUUUUCCUUGAAAAAUCUUUUUAUGCAUACUUCAAAAAAAAAAAAAUAUUGAAAUAGGUAUGUGUUAAUCCAUGCGUUUACACUUAUACUCGUGAAGCUUCAAUUGCUAAAGAUUCUUUUUAAAAAGAAGUCAAAGUUCAUGCACCGUAAAAUUUAUAAAGUAAAAGUCGCUCCAGACACAAUUAAACAAAAAGUUAGUUGCAUCUUAAAUGAUUUUCACUCAAGUAAGUUUCCAAAUCCCCAUCUCUAUUUUUCAUCACAAUUAAAAAAAAAAAUCAAACUUCACUAGUAUCGUGACCCAAUGAAGUACAAAAACUGAAACGAAAUUUUCCUACUUUUAUCAUUUGGUUGUUGUGCUAUAUUGAUCAGGGUUGCACUCUAUGCUUGAUAAGUCCGGCAUGGUCCAAUAUCACAGCACACUCGUGUCACAUGACAACCACAGUUCAUUUGGAGCUCAGUGAGUAGAAGUUAUAUUGUGAUCUUGUUGAGUAUCAACUAGUUUGAAUCUCCUACUCACUUGAUUUAGUUGAGAUGGUGCAUCGAAUAUUUACGGGCGCGUCGUAAAAGUGCCAUUGGAAGUUCCUAAAGUAUAACAGUAUGUUACAUUGCAUUUUCUACGUUUAAUUAUGACAAUUGCCAUAAUGAUGUUAUGAUGUUUAUUUAUAUGUUUUUUUAUAUUUAGGAGUGUCGUAUUUUUGUAGGGUAAAAUUAUAUAUAGAUAUGCCAACACAAAUGAUGAGUCUGGCACAAGUUUGCUAAAGGAAAUUGACCCUAUGACAAAUCCAACGCAUUUAUGAAGGCCUUUCUCUCGGACCAAUCCAAACAAAGAAAAUAUUAGGUACCUUAGUGAUUGACAUCUUCCACUGAGCACUCAACAUGUGUCAUCCACGAUCCUUGUAGAAAUUUUCAGAUUCUCUCUCUCAUGACCAUAGUGGUCGAAACUCGUAAGCGAAGAGGUCCGUCGUUGCCGCAAGAGUAGGUGCUGUCGAAGGCCUCAAAAUUCAAAAUCAAGGAGGUGAAGUUUUCAAGACUCUCGAUUGAAUUAUCCGCUACUUCCCACGAGCUGGAUGAGACCUAGAGGCGAUCAUCAAGGGUGUUGUGGACGAGAUCGAGAGAAGGGGUGGAACCAUGACUAGAGUUGGAGGUUCUUCUUCAAUCUCUGCGACGGGGAAGAGAGAAAGGUAGGUUGUUACAAAGCAGAGGGAAUGUGGGUUUUGGUGAUUUUUGUGCUUGAAGAUGGAGCAAGAGACUUGAGAGAUGUAGGGGUGAUCGGUUCCCGGUUCCCAAAAUUACGAACCGUGGACCGGACCGUUUGUCCUAAGACCGAGAAUCGGACCGGACCAUUACGAACCGUGGACCGGACCGUUUGUCCUAAGACCGAGAAUCGGACCAGACCAUCGGUUCCGGUCCGGUCUACUUUUUUGCACUAAAGAACUAAAGAGUGACCGCGUUCUUGACCGAUCAAUUCAAUUCGAUUCUCGGGCAAUUCAACAAAACUAAUCACACGUGUUCCACGUGCAAAAUAUUCAAACUUCACUUGUGUGAUUCACGGGAUCUCUUGAAGUCUUAGUCCCACGUCGAAACUAUCAAGGAGAUUUUUUCUAUAAAUAAAAGAGUAACAAAAAGAAUUUUAAUGGUCUCUUGGCCACAUAAGAGGUUGCUACCUCAAAUUGCAAUUUUGGUUGCAAUAAGUUAUCAUGUUUAUAUGUUUUAUUAAUUCUAUGUAUAUAAAUUAUAUAUAAAAAAAUUUGGUUCGGUCCGGUCGGUCCGGUUCGGUCCGGUUCCCACCUUGAAACCGGGAACUGGACCGACCGGCCACCGGUUCCAAGAUUAGGAACCGGGGACCGGACCGCCGACCAUGGGAACCGCCCAAAACCGACCGGUUCGGUCCGGUCCGGCCGGUUCCCGGUUUGGGCGUUUCCCGUUGCACACCCCUAGAGAGAUGAGGGGGGGGGGGGGAAAGUCAGCGAGAGAGAAGGGAGAAAAUUUGAAAAUUUCUGAAAUGGGAGACUACAGAUUACACUUGUCAAGUGUUUAGUGGACUUAUUCAAAUCCGAUGUGUUUAUCACUGAGAUACCUAAUAUUUUCUCAUCCAGACCAGCAUCAACACUCUAGCAUUUCGAAGGCAUGUCCAGCAUUUCGAAGGCAUGAGUUAACUGACCAAAAAGAUGGGCCAAUCUUGCCGUCAUUAUUUUUUCAUAUUCCUCUCUUACCCUUGAAUGUUGCACCAUAGCUAUUGGCUAUUCUCAUUGCUCUUAAGGAGUGAACCAUUCUAGAUUUCAUACAAAUUCCGUCCAAAACUUAGAACUUACAUGUUAAAACAAGUUUCUCAUUUUUUAAAACUUUUUUUUUUGUCAAUCCUACUCUAACACUUACUCUCAGAUUUUUGCCUUGCCUCUUUGCAUGGCGUGAGAGUCAAAACCCACUCCUGAAUUGAAAUCGUCUUCACCCCAAUCCCCCCUGAGAAUGUGAGGAUUUAAACCCCCAACCUCCCCCUUCCAAGUCUCCCUUCCAAGUUGGAAGAGUGGUCACUGGGGCGAACCCCCAAUGAUUAGAACAUACCUUACAUACCCUAGAAUUUAAAACCUAUCAUGUCACGAUUACGGUGUCUACCCAGAUUCCACAUAUAUUAUUAAUUGAAUGAUUAUAUUAAAUUAUCAUAUUUAUUACAAUUCAUUGGCAAUAACUUAUAUUUAAACAUAUGAAAUAUAUUAAACAUUAACAAAAUAAAAGUUUCAGUCAUAAAAUGGAAGUUCAGACUAGUGAUUUUAAAUUAUACACUCAUCAUUGAACAACUUGUAAUACUCAAGCACCGUGCGAAGACAUAGACUAAGUAAAACACAAAAACUUUUUAUGAGUUUUAAGUUAGUUUCAAAUUCCACUAACCUAAAAUCUAAAACAUAUCCAUUGAAACAUGUUCCUCAAUUUUUGGAAUCUGGAACCUUUCUUGCAUACUUUCAAACCUGAGGUUCUUAGGUUGCAGAUUUUACUCGUAAAGCAUGCUCACCCCUAAGUCUCCACGGAAGGUCACCAAGAAUUUGGAGGGUCGCACAAGGUCACAAAGUUCACAUUCAAAGUCGAGGAGGCUACAUGACUUGAGCAUCGCCUUGCCUAGGCAUUGCCUCGCUUGGAGUCAUGCAACUUCAAGGAGGGUGAUAGUUGCUACUUCUUCAAUGAUGUCAGGUCGUUUGACUUCAAGUGAGCUAGAUCCAGACUAUAGAUUAAGCAAGCAAAGCUGCAGUAGAUGAAGUAGCAACUACUAACCUUGCCUAAGGUUGUGCAACAUCGAAGUUACACAGCCCUAGGUAAGGCAAUGCUGGUGUCGCAUGACUUGGACGAUGUAAUCACCAGUGUCAUUUUGGUGUCUUUUUGCUUAAGUGGCCGAGGGUUUGCAAUUUUUUUUAUUUUUUACACUUUUGUACUUUGAGUUAAGGUCCUUUCACACUGAAAAACUGUUCUCCCAGAGUAGGGCUGGCAAAUGGGUGAGUUCGAUUAGGUAUGGGUUGGGUCGAAAAUUGGUCGACCCAUAUUUGACCCAUUCAACUCAUUUUGACCAUAUUUUUGUAGUGUAAAUCUAGUGAUCCAUACCUGACCCGACCCGUAUUACUAAAACCUAUUUAUUGUUAAAAUAUUUUUAUGCAAUACAAAUUUUUUAACAAUUUUUAUGCAAUACAAACUUAAUGGAAAUUUUUAUAAUUCUUUUUAAAAUAUUUUUUAUAAAAAAUGGAAUUUUUAAAUUUUUUAAAAAUAUACUUUUUAAUUUUUUUUUAUUUUUUAGAAAUAUAAUUUUUAAUUAUCUUUAUUUUAAAAAAUAUAUAUUUUUUUAAUAUCAUUUUUAAUUUUAAUAAUUAUUUUCUCUUUUUCUCUUUUCUCUUUUUUUUCUUCUUCUUCGACCGACCGCCAGCCACGACAACGGCCGGCGAUUGGCCACAAGUGAGACUCAAGCUCGCUGGCGUCGUGCGAGGCUCGAUCUCGUCGAUCUGACGAGGCCGAGGCCCCGCCCGACACCAACAAGCUCGAGCCUCGCCAAUCAUCAGAGAGGCCGAGAAAUCCAACGAGACUUAGUCGUCGGCGACCUUCGAGGGAGCGGCGGAGGCAAGCCUCAGAGGGGGCGGCUCAGAGGCGAGCAACAAAGAUGAAGGUCGAAGGGCUAUCCAUGCUUUUUAGGUUUUAAAAAUGGGUCAGAACGUGUGACCUAUUUUCAACUCAUAUAAAAUUGAAUUAUGGUCCAUUACAACUUCAUAACCCACGUUCGACUCAUUUGUGAAAAAUAUGGGUACAAAAUGACCCAUUUUGCCGCCUCUAUCCGGGGGCACCCAAAUUCCCCCGCGUCGGGCUCAAGAAUGUCUCGUCGCCACUUGACCACAUCAUUUUGGCCCUUCCACGCACUUCCAAGAGUGGUCUCCAUAUCCCCCGUUGACCAUCCGGACCUUCUCUCGGUAUCUCCUCCCCGUUUGGUCGCAUACGCGCACACAAUGCUCGACCUUGAUCAUCACCAGCUCCUCCCACUCGUCAGGGUUGCUCUGUCAAUCACGAGGGCCCUUAAUUCAUGAUCGAAUCUCUGGUUAUCUGGAAUUCCUUUGUGGGUUUGCUUCGCUCUCGCUGCCCGUUUGGCAAAAGGGUCCGUCGCUUCGAGAUACCCCCAACAGGUCAACACUGCUCCAUGGAGCUCGAGCGAAUCCUUGCUUGAAUCUUCGCUCCUCUCCUCGCCUUCUUGGGUCCGGUCAAUGGCCGCCUCUGUGUCGGCAUUAUCUUUCUCUGUCCACAGGACUCGCCCCGCCGGACUCUCACCUGCCCAUGUGGCCGUCGACGAGCCCCGAAAAAGGUUCCCCUUCUCCUUCGGGUCGAGGCCGAGCUUGCCCUUCGCAUCUGUGGGUCCCCGCCGCCAUUAUUUGGGCCCUCUCAUUGCCUACCCUCGUGCUUUCCCGUCGCCGGCGAGGGACGCCCUUCUGGGAGAUGGGUUCGCUUCCGCGGCCGAAGAGGAGGGCGAUUUGACGAUUCCCGAGGAGAGGCCGGUCAAGUUCCUGCUCUGGGUCGUGUUCUGGGCUUCCCUGUCUCUGGCUUGGUUCGCGGCUUCCAAGGACGCGAAUGCCGCCGUUGAUUCCAUCAAAGCCUCGGGCUUUGGCGUGAAGGUCGCCAGCAAACUGCGGAGCUCGGGAUGGCCGGACGAAGCCGUGGUCUUCGCGCUCGCGACGCUUCCGGUGAUUGAGCUCCGAGGGGCUAUUCCUGUCGGUUACUGGAUGCAACUCAAGCCUUCGCUCCUCACUGUCUUAUCUGUUAUCGGGUCAGUCUAAUUUCAUCCAUUUUACUUGGUGUACAUUACCUCAUUCACAUGAAUGGAAUGUCUGAUCUUGUUAUUGGUGUUUGCACUGGGCGCCGUAUUGAAUUCCAAAUGCAGCCCCUCUCACUUCAUGUAGUCUCGCGCCAACUGCUCGAUGAAAUGCCGUGGUUAAGAUGGAUUUCUAAGUAAUGAGAAUAUUUUUUUGAUAAAUGGGGCUACUUUAAUCAUUGGUAUGUCAAGUUCCUUUAUGUUUGUUCUGGAUGAUAUUUGCGCCUCAUUGUUGGCUGCUGAUGCUUAUUCUUUUUGCCUUCCAAUCAGUUUGUAACAUUUUGUAGGGGAGAGAUGCAUUUCAGCUUUGGAAAUGAAACACCAGCUACAAUCUGACAUUUUUUUUCUCUUUGGUCUUACUUGUUGUAGGAAUAUGUUGCCCGUACCAUUCAUCAUACUCUACUUGAAGAAGUUAGCUACUUUCCUUGCUAGGAGGAGCCGAUCAGCAUCCCGGUUACUUGAAAUGGUAUUUGAGAGGGCGAAAGAGAAGGCUGGCCCUGUGGAAGAGUUUCAGUGGCUUGGCCUCAUGUUGUUUGUGGCUGUGCCUUUUCCUGGAACGGGGGCUUGGACCGGAGCUAUCAUAGCUUCAGUUCUGGAUAUGCCCUUUUGGCCAGCGGUGACUGCCAAUUUUUGCGGUGUUGUCCUCGCAGGGCUUCUGGUGAAUUUGCUUGUGAACCUUGGACUCAAAUAUGCCAUCGUGACUGGUAUAAUCCUCUUUUUUAUUUCCACAUUCAUGUGGAGCAUCCUCCGAAGUCUUAGGAAAUCUUUGAGCUCAUCAAACUGAUGAACACAAACUACUCAUUUGAUGUUAACGGCAUUGAAUUCUGUACUCAGUUUUUUGAAGUGGCUGUCUCCCGUUCACUGGCUUUGGUGCAAUGUACUGUCACUUUCCUGCUUCAGAAAUACUCAUCAGGAAUGAUUAGAUGAUUUGAAACUGACUGGAGUAAAUGAAUUCAUUCUCUACUGGUUUAAAAUGGAGAUGUCUUUCAGUAAAUGCCGUUUGAUUAAACUCGAGCAGCAACCCCCGGUUUUGUUGACCUUAGUUAAUGUAACUAUAUUUAUUCAUCAGUGCCCUUUCUUUUGGAUUACAUUUAAAAGCGAUUUUGCAUAUGCCCUAACAUCAGUGCCCAAGCCAGCACACUUGGUUUCCAUGUCUAAGGUUGCAAGCGAAGCAAACCUCAGUGUCGUAAUGGGAGUUCGUUCUGUAUUGGAAAAAUUGCACCAGAAGUCCUAAGUUCUUAUCAUAGGAUGCAGUUAUAUCUAAAUGUUUUAAUGGGUGCAAUUAACUGUGAACUUUUGAAAAUUGUAAUCUAAGUCCUGCUAUGCCCGUUAGUUGAUGUAGUCAAUUCCUAAAUUUUUAUUGAAAAGUGUAGUCAAAUCCUAAAACUAUUUCAAGAAAAAUAAUUCGGGGUUGCCACAUCAGUAGUUUUUUAAUACUGCGUUGACCCUUCCCUGUAUCCUUAUUUAGAGGACUUAAAUUGCACCAAUCAAUAGUUCUGGAACUCAAUCGGAUUCCUAAAACUGUAUUCCUCAUUUUACAUUAUUCCACUUCUGGCAGACAGCAGGUACUCUUCUAGUUUACUUUUGGAUUGGCGGAAUGAGGUUCAUACCCUCAAGUUGCUUCUACUUUCUUGUAAUAAUAAUAUAGGCCAGAAGUUUGUGGUGACGAGACGACCAAUGAGCAAUAACUGCGUACUCAAUGCAGAAAAAAUUUGGUAUGAAAACAUGAAUUUUCCUUCCUGUUCUGACUUCUCAGCUGGCAACAUUAAUUCCUCCCAUUCCGAUCAUUAAUGUGCUCUGUACACCGAAACUCUCAAAUGAAAGAGGAGAUUUUCGUGAAAGGAGAGAAAACUCUACGAGCAGGCUGACUAGAGCUUUCUGGUGAGGGGAUUUACAUCUAAUACCUCUAAUAGCCAUUAUCUAUUUGCAGAACGCUACAUGAUGGAUUGUGUGGAGCCUGACAAUUGUGCCAAGUCCAUUCUUUCUCCUCUUACCAACAUCUCUGCCUAUAUAUGCUUAAAUGUAUAGCAGGGAGAGCACUUGCUAUUGCGAGUUCGUUAUGGUCGCUCCAUGUUUACUUUCCUUGUAUAGCAGGGAUGAACUAUAGGAAAAAGUGUUAAAAAAGUCCUAAAUCUUUUGUAUUUGUGUCAAUUUAAUCUUAAAUCUUUUUUUUAUACCAAUUUAGUCAUAAACAUUUUUAAAUAGUGUCGAUUAAAUCCUUUUCGGACAAUUUUGAUCGGAUUUUGCUGACUGGACGUCGACCGGCUAACAUGGUCUGAUCAAUGCUAACGUGGAUAGCUUUUAAUCAUAUUUUAAUAUUUUUGAAUUUUUUUAUGUUUAUUUUUCUUUUUUCUUUUUUCAUUUUUCUUUUUUCCUUCCCCUCCUCCAGCCAGUCGCUAGACCUCGGCAACCAACCAGAGGCGAUAGCCAGCGAGGUUGACCUCGCUAAACCUCGUUGGCCACCUUGCUAGUGGCCGCAAGGGCAACCUCGCACUGGGCGGCAAGGCUUGCCGUCACCAACCACCUUGCUAGUGGCCGCGAGGGUAGCCUCGCGCUGGGCGGCGAGGCUUGACCUUGCCAACGCCGCCCAAGCUGCAAUUUGGCAAGGUCAAGCCUUGCC
rnacentral:lncRNA from 1 species